rnacentral:misc_RNA from 2 species
CCGAGUGCUGGGUCCUUCGGGGCCCAACCUCCCACCCGUGCUUACCGUACCCUGUUGCUUCGGCGGGCCCGCCUUCGGGCGGCCCGGGGCCUGCCCCCGGGACCGCGCCCGCCGGAGACCCCAAUGGAACACUGUCUGAAAGCGUGCAGUCUGAGUUGAUUGAUACCAAUCAGUUA